CCAUGCCGUGGGCCCUGGCAGUCCCGCCCGCCCCUGGUGGGUGCCAGCUGGCGUGGCUCGGCUUCCACGGCAUGGC